rnacentral:rRNA from 1 species
GAUGAACGCUGGCGGCGUGCCUAAUACAUGCAAGUCGAGCGAACGGACGAGAAGCUUGCUUCUCUGAUGUUAGCGGCGGACGGGUGAGUAACACGUGGAUAACCUACCUAUAAGACUGGGAUAACUUCGGGAAACCGGAGCUAAUACCGGAUAAUAUUUUGAACCGCAUGGUUCAAAAGUGAAAGACGGUCUUGCUGUCACUUAUAGAUGGAUCCGCGCUGCAUUAGCUAGUUGGUAAGGUAACGGCUUACCAAGGCAACGAUGCAUAGCCGACCUGAGAGGGUGAUCGGCCACACUGGAACUGAGGCACGGUCCAGACACCUACGGGAGGCAGCAGUAGGGAAUCUUCCGCAAUGGGCGAAAGCCUGACGGAGCAACGCCGCGUGAGUGAUGAAGGUCUUCGGAUCGUAAAACUCUGUUAUUAGGGAAGAACAUAUGUGUAAGUAACUGUGCACAUCUUGACGGUACCUAAUCAGAAAGCCACGGCUAACUACGUG